CGUAUUUGCUUGAUAUUUUUUUUAACGGUUAGUGUCCUACUCAUCAUUUAUUUGUUAGUACAUUUUUAUCCCCCUGUUACACCAAAGAGCUAAAGAUGGCAUGCACGGUUCUUCUGCUCUGCGUUUUAUCCUCAUAGCAGCCCUGGUGACUUUGAAUGACUGAGCCAAGGUCACUCAGUGACUUACAUGGCUGAAGAGAUCUUUGUCUCUCCUAGACUCGGCAUCAUUAGACAGAUUUUGUUUGACUCCCACUUUCCACUAGGCCCAGCCAGUAUGAGUUGCAGUCCAACACGGGUUUGGGCAUAAUGUUCAACUUUAAUGUAGGGGCCACAGGUUUCCCUAUCCUGUACUACAGAGAUUUUAUUGAUUUAUAGAAACAAUUUAAAACUACCUUUUGCACCCGGUGGUUCACAACAAUAAAAAUACAACCCUCAUGCGGUGAAAACUGAGAACCAUAAAAUCACUUUAAAAAUAAACAAACAAAACCCAGCAAUGUUGACAUACAGUUAAGGACCAUUAAAAGCUUGGGGGGGGGGGGAAAUAGUCUUGACUGUUCACCCAAAAACAGAGGGGCCAGUUGAACACCUCUUGAGAGGAUACUACCACAGAGAAGGCCCUAUUUUAUACUCAUGUUACCUUUGGCACCAGAACACAGAGCAGAGCCUGGAAUUUCCUUUCAGACUUUCACAGCACCCCAUGGUAUGAAAACUAUAAAGAAAACAAAACUCAAAUCAUUUAACACAAUAAAUAUAUAAGAGCAGCAUAGUCAAGGAGAAUAACAGAAAGCUCCAUUAAUGAAAGACCCUUAUAAAUUACAUUAAUGUUGAACAUUAUGCCCCAAAGUGGAGGAGGGAGAGAAGGAGGCACAGUGGUUGUGCAUACUGCCUUUACCCCAACACUGCCAUGUGCACUUGUCCCAUAUGCUCUGCCCCCAAUGAGUGUUGAUCAUGCAUGCAAGCUUUUUUGUAACAUCUACACAUUGUCAGCUUCAAAAUGCCAGCCUGUAUUCCCCCCCGCCCUCAUUUAAUCCAGAUUUACCCUUUCAAGGGAAAAUCUGAUGAGUCAUAAAAGACUUGUUGCCAAUGACACAUUUUCAAUAUCUGGAUGUGCAUUGGGAAUGUUAAGCUCCUGCUUAGAAGCACCCAGAGUAAUGUUAAAACGUCAUGGUACAUUAAAACAAAACAUUAACAUCUCUUCUACCUUCUAUGGUUUACUUUGCUGGGGCUGCUUCUUGCCUUUCGGACGAUAAAAAAAUAUACUUCCCCAAAUCUUUAUGCUCUUGAAUCAUUUUGAUCUAUUCCUCUUUCUAAUGUACAGAAGGCCCUUUUGAAUGCAGCUACUUCCAAGAAUCUGUUUAUGUGGGCCACUUCCAAGAAUCUGUUUAUGUGGGCCACUUUGUUUUUUAAAAGAUGCAGAUAAAAUUGUGUUUGGUGUUGUUAAGCAGCCUGCUGCAGGGCAAGUGGCUGAACUACAUGAGCUGUGGGAGUUCCAUCCUAGAAUGUGAUACCUGAACUGAAGCUGGUUUUCUAUAAGGAGGACAAGGGGAAAAUAAUAAUCAGCUGGGCCAGUACUGGGAAAAUGGCCAGGCAAGCAUUGCCUAGGGGUAAGUAGCCAAUCCAGGCAGUGCUGAAUUAUAUCACUGUACUAUUAAUGCAACUCUGCAGGUUCUUUGUUAUCUCCUCUUCUAGAUCACUCAUAUUCAUUUAGCUUGUAUCCCAGUGGUUCAAAAACUGCUUUCCAAUUAUGGCACCAGAUAAUAGCACACAGUUCUCAAUGCAGCCCAUUCAGCUUUUUUCAUUCCUAUGAACUAUGCCAGGUGAAUUUCAGACAAUAUAUGGGGGUAGAAUAAAUACACAUUUAUAUGUUUAAAAAACUUAUAUCCCAAUUUCACCACAUGUCUCAAAGUGGCUUAAAAAAGUUAAAGGACCCCUGACAGUAAAGUCCAGUCGCAGACGACUCUGGGGUUGCGGUGCUCAUCUCGCUUUACAAGGCAAAGGAGCCGGCGUUUUUCUGGGUCAUGUGGCCAGCAUGACUAAGCCGCUUCUGGUGCAACGGAACACCGAAACCAGAGCAGCACACGAAAUGCCAUUUACCUUCCCGCUGGAGCGGUACCUGUUUAUCUACUUGCACUUUUUGGUGUGCUUUCGAACUGCUAGGUUGGCAGGAGCUGGGACCAAGCAACGGGAGCUCACUCCGUCAUGGGGAUUCGAACCACCAACCUUCUGACUGGCAAGCCCAAGAGGCUCAGUGGUUUAGACCACAGCGCCUUCGUCCUCCAAAGUGGCUUACAGAAACAAUAAAAAUAAAAAUUACAGAAUUAAAUGCACAAAUUAAAACAUAAGAGAAAAGAGCAUUCAAACAGCAUUCAUGGCCCAAAGGGUUUCUGAAAUAAAAAUGUUUUGACCUGGUGCCUAAAACUUGGGAAGGAUGGUGCCUAGAACUUGAUAUCUAAUGGUUUUUAAAACAAUCUCAUAACUAUCCAGGGGUUUUAAAGAGAACAGGUUUCAGGUUUCUUUUCUAACAGCAAAGGGAGCACACUAGACCUGACCCAUAAAGUGAAAAAAGGCUUCAGGUGAAAGGGAGGAAAUGGUGAGGUCAGAGAAAACUAAUUUUCUUACAUCUGAUCAUCAUACAAUAUAUUGUCUCCCUCCCAGCAGUCAGAACGCCUGGAUUUUCUGUCAUUUGAUAGCAGUAAGGAGAAUUGGAUGACUUCAUUUCUAUAGCACACAUCUGGCCUAGGAAGGAAAUACACAGAUAAAUAACCCAUGGAAUUAAUUUGUUCUCCCAUUUUACUCUUUCUCACUCUUCUCUGCCUGAUACUCAGCAAAAUUGUUGCUUUCCUGACUGGUUAUCCAACCAGAAACAUAUACACACACACUUGUGUGUAUUCACCUUCUGUAGCUAUUAAAGAUCCCACAAGCUUGCCCCAGGCGGCUGAUUGUAUAAUUUGUCAGAUGAAUGGCACCAACUCUCUUAAGGGCAGUGCACUCGCCUAUCUGCCAUGGAUGGCAAUAAAUCUCUCCCAGCAUCAUCAGUCCUCAGGUGGACUUCAUCGGAUGUAGACAUCUUAUCAGCUGAGCACAGCCUCUCCUAAUGGUGUGAUAAAUAUUCCAGCCUCCGAGUAUCACUAUCAAGAGAUUUAAAUCAGACCUAGUACUUAUUGCUGCUAUUACUACAGAGUUAAUGCCAAUGACUCUUUCACUUAUCUCUUUAACCAGAGAUGGUGAAUAGCCUUUUUAUGUCUCCACUCCUGGUCACUGAAAGCAAAAUUCAUACAGAAAUGGCCUCCUCAUGAGCUCAGUGCUGAAAUUUCUCAGGUGGGAUGCAAAGAGUAGUUUAUACCAUUUUUAGAUGCGAGUUUCCACGAUGAGACCAUUUCUAAAAAUAAAAAUAGCGUCUUUUUUCAGACUAUCAGGACUAAACAACGAGAGCAAACUAUCACAUGCACCAACAGUAAUUAGGUAAGUAAGUAAAUCUUUUUCAGUCUGCAAAGUAUUUUGCAGUGAAAAAAAAUGCUUCUUGUAUUAUCCCUCUAACAUAGGUCAUUAACAUAAAUUCCUUAUGGGGGGAAAAUCAAGAUAUUGUGUUGCAAUGAAUGAUCUAUAGUAAUGCUGAAAAGAGAAUGUGUAAGAACCAAACUAGAUAUGAAGUUUAUCACCUACUUGGCAGUGCAUACCUGCUUUUUUAAUUCAAUAGCAAGCGUGGGGAAGGGACAUGGAGUAGAGGUACUGGGCAGGGGACUUCAACCCUUUUGUCGCUCUUGCAGUCCUGAUUGGAAUUGUCCCACCCCGGCCUUGCUAUUUACAAUGGGAGGAAAGCUCAGAGGUAAGUGGGGACAAUUCCAAUCAGGUCCAAGGCAAGGACAAAUCUAAGGUUCAUUCUUUAUCACCAGCCCUGCAUUUUCCACAGCUCUUUACGUUUUCUGCUCUGAGCUCCUGUUCUAAAAACCAGGAAUAGCUUGUCUAACUCUUCCAGCACACACACACACACCACUUCCAUUACGUCUGUAGCAUCUGAUUUUAAUCACAGACACUUUGUGCACUUCCAGUUUUAGAAAUGGUUUUAUUUUAUUAUUUUUCACACUUACAAAUGACAUAAUGGAACUUUAACCUGCUUAUAAUAUGGUUGAAAAACUGCUCAGUUGUACAUCUCUAAGAACUUGCAAGACUCCAGCUAAAAGUACAGAGAACAUAAAGGACAAUGAGCUGAUUUAGUUGAGUUACCAUUCAAUAAGUAAUAGAACUGCUGUAUGAUGUUAUUUCCAUUUGAGCCCUGAGACCAAAAGCUCCAUUCUCGGUCAUGCUUUAAUAUAUAAUAAAAUUUAAGGUGGAGUAAAGCCACUGGGUGAAACUGGGACAUGAUGGCUUCCAUUUUUAGGGCUUGGCUGGAGACUCUUGGUCUCUGUGCCACACCAUUUUGUCACAUGCUUCUCGGGCCAAGUUUCCCAGUGGUGGAAAAUGAAUACAAGUCCUUUUUCUUCUUAAUUUAGUUCCUGCGGUCAUGUCAUUUUGAUUUAAGAAAGAAUAUAAGGUUCUUCCUUAUAUUCUUUCUUAAAUCUUAAAUACUUGUUUAUAAAUCAGUUGUUUCACUUUGUGAUAAGGGCUGUCUUUGUUAAUGUGACUCUACAGGAUCACACCAUUUGACUAUUAGAGUUUCCAGCUGACCCAAAGAGGAAAAUAAGAAAGUGUCACAUGGAUAUCAUGAGUAUUGGAACUAAUCCAAGACAUUAAGGGUACAUUCAGACAUGGGAAUUGUUGCAUUAGUUUUCUUGGUUAUAAUGCUAGUGCUUCUUGUCCUGGUUUCUAACAUUUCUGUCAUACUGCAUUAUGGAACUGUGACUCUUUGAUCAAUAUACCGCCAUGUCAUCCUAAAAUUAAUUCCUAACAAUGGACAUGGUGUGACACAACAGUAGAUGCCACUGGACAUCUACAUUGACUUUAAGAAAGCCGACUUCAUAAAACUUAGGGAAGUGCUGGGUGAGAUCCCAUGGACAGUAAUACUAAAAGGAAAGGGAGUUCAUGAUGGCUGGGAGUUUGUUAAGAGGGAGAUAGUAAAAGCACAACUUCAGGCAAUACCAAUGAGACGGAAACAUGGAAGGUGCCUAAAGAAGCCAGGGUGGCUAUCUAAAGAACUUUUAACUGAGUUAAGAUUAAAAAGGAUGUGUACAAAAAAUGGAAAAGGGGGGAAACCACCAAAGAGGAAUUCAAACAAAUAGCCAGCACGUGUAGACACAAAGUCAGAAAAGCUAAAGCACAGAAUGAACUCAGGCUUGCUAGAGAGGUUAAAAGCAACAAAAAGGCUUUUAUGGGUAUGUUCAUAGCAAAAGGAAGAACAAAGAAACAGUGGGGUCACUCAGAGGAGAAGAUGGUGAAAUGCAAACAGGGGACACAGAAAGGGCUGAACUCCUCAAUGCCUUCUUUGCCUCAGUCUUCUCCGAUAAAGAAAACAAUGCCUGACCUGAAGAAUUUGGAGCAAAUGAUUCAGCAGAGGAAACACAGCCCAAAAUAACUAAGGAGAUAGUACAAGAAUACUUGGCUAGUUUAGAUGUAUUCAAAUCUCCAGGGCCAGAUGAACUGCAUCCAAGAGUAUUAAAAGAACUGGCAGAUGUGAUCUCAGAACCACUGGCAGUCAUCUUUGAGAAUUCCUGGAGAACAGGCGAAGUCCCGGCAGACUGGAGGAGGGCAAAUGUCGUCCCUAUUUUCAAAAAGGGGAAAAGAGAGGACCCAAAUAAUUACCGCCCAGUCAGUCUGACAUCAAUACCAGGGAAGAUUCUGGAGCAGAUCAUUAAGCAAACAGUCUGUGAGCACCUAGAAAGGAAUGCUGUGAUCCCCAAUAGUCAGCAUGGAUUUCUGAAAAAUAAGUCAUGUCAGACUAACCUGAUCUCCUUUUUGACAGAAUUACAAGCCUGGUAGAUGAAGGGAACGCAGUGGAUGUAGCCUACCUUGAUUUCAGCAAGGCAUUUGACAAGGUGCCCCAUGAUAUUCUUGUAAAGAAGCUGGUAAAAUGCGGUCUUGACUAUGCUACCACUCAGUGGAUUUGUAACUGGCUGACUGACCGAACCCAAAGGGUGCUCAUCAAUGGUUCCUCUUCAUCCUGGAGAAGAGUGACUAGUGGGGUGCCACAGGGUUCUGUCUUGGGCCCGGUCUUAUUCAACAUCUUUAUCAACGACUUGGAUGAUGGACUCAAGGGCAUCCUGAUCAAAUUUGCAGAUGACACCAAACUGGGAGGUGUGGCUAACACCCCAGAGGACAGGAUCACACUUCAAAACGACCUUGACAGAUUAGAGAACUGGGCAAAAACAAACAAGAUGAAUUUGAACAGGGAGAAAUGUAAAGUAUUGCACUUGGGCAAAAAAAUGAGAGGCACAAAUACAAGAUGGGUGAUACCUGGCUUGAGAGCAGUACAUGUGAAAAGGAUCUAGGAGUCUUGGUUGACCACAAACUUGACAUGAGCCAACAGUGUGACGCGACAGCUAAAAAGCCAAUGCAAUUCUGGGCUGCAUCAAUAGGAGUAUAGCAUCUAGAUCAAGGGAAGUAAUAGUGCCACUGUAUUCUGCUCUGGUCAGACCUCACCUGGAGUACUGUGUCCAGUUCUGGGCACCACAGUUCAAGAAGGACACUGACAAACUGGAACGUGUCCAGAGGAGGGCAACCAAAAUGGUCAAAGGCCUGGAAACGAUGCCUUAUGAGGAACGGCUAAGGGAGCUGGGCAUGUUUAGCCUGGAGAAGAGGAGGUUAAGGGGUGAUAUGAUAGCCAUGUUCAAAUAUAUAAAAGGAUGUCACAUAGAGGAGGGAGAAAGGUUGUUUUCUGCUGCUCCAGAGAAGAGGACACAGAGCAAUGGAUCUAAACUACAAGAAAGAAGAUUCCACCUAAACAUUAGGAAGAACUUCCUGACAGCAAGAGCUGUUCAACAGUGGAAUUUGCUGCCAAGGAGUGUGGUGGAGUCUCCUUCUUUGGAGGUCUUUAAGCAGAGGCAUGACAACCAUAUAUCAGGAGUGCUCUGAUGGUGUUUCCUGCUUGGCAGGGGGUUGGACUCGAUGGCCCUUGUGGUCUCUUCCAACUCUAUGAUUCUAUGAUUCUAUGACAUAUUGCCACUGUUUAUGUACAUGCAUGUUUCUGUUCCCCCUUGAUUCACUCAUGAAAAUGGCAGGAAAGAACUGCAUAUGCUGGAAUACUGCCUUAAAUUUCGUCACAUGACAUGAUGCAUGAAAACUCUAGGGAAAUUACAGCAGAAGCCUCCUGUGAUUUCCCCUGUUUAAAGGUAAAGGGACCCCUGACCAUUAGGUCCAGUAGUGGCCGACUCUGGGGUUGUGGCGCUCAUCUCGCUUUAUUGGCCGAGGGAGCCGGCGUACAGCUUCUGCGUCAUGUGGCCAGCAUGACUAAGCUGCUUCUGGCAAACCAGAGCAGCACACGGAAACGCCGUUGACCUUCCUGCCGGAGCGGUACCUAUUUAUCUACUUGCACUUUGAUGUGCUUUCGAACUGCUAGGUUGGCAGGAGCAGGGACCGAGCAACGGGAGCUCACCCCGUCACGGGGAUUCAAACCACCGACCUUCUGAUAGGCAAGUCCUAUGCUCUGUUGUUUAACUCACAGCGCCACCCGCAUCCCCUUUCCCCUGUUUACAGGGUUGCAAAUAGAUGUGUUGUUGUUUUUUCUUCUGGAAGCAAUUAACACAUAAAUGAGCACUAAAAUUUCACUAGAUUUCCACAAGUGUAUAGCUCAAGGUAAAGCUUAAUGAAGUUGGUUUUUUUUAAAGCCACUCUAUUCAGGCUUUCCUUCAGGCUUUCCCUGGUAGUUGAAAAGUUUUGUUUUUUUCAUAUUGCAUUGCUCAAUGCCUUGAUUAGUCAGUGCUUUUUUUCUAAAAAAAUGUUUAGGGGUACUCUCAUUUUGACUCAAGAAAACCACCAUUUUAUAGUUCAAAUCGGGGAAAAUAAAUACAGUAUGGACAAAAGUACAAAUCCUGAGUCCCCCCAGAAAAACACACUAGAUUUAGUAUUUUACUAUAUCUCUCAAGUGUUAGCUGUGAUUUUACAACUACAUUUCUUUUCUUGUAAAAGACCUUGACUAUUUUUUUUUAGUUAUAUGUCAUAUUAAUUCCAUAAAUGUAAAAAUAAUGGAGUGAUGAAGCUAAUACCAUAUCUAAAAUCAUGUAUAUUCUAAUUAUAAGUUUCUAAAAACCUUUAAACUGGACUCUUAAAAACAUGGAAUUGAUAAUAUGAAUAUACUUCCAGUAUUUAUCAUCAAUAUUAUGUGCAGCAGAAUUUAUUCCCUAUCAACCUGUACAGAGAUGGCCUGCUGCAUUUUUCAAGUGAGCCACAAAAAACAUGUAUUUUUCCUUCUUGCUUCUUUCUCUCCAACCCCCACCUAGUGCAGACACACAUAUGCUGCAAUGUGGGAUUUGAGAAAGUGUUUUUUUGAGCCUAUCAGGAACACAGAGUGGGUGUUCCCGCUACCGCCUCCUGUCCAUUUGGUUUUCUUCCAUCCUUUCUUCUCUGGCCUAAUUUCUGCUUUGAAUUUAAACUGCACACUUGCAGCCAGAUUUUCCGCACCAAGUACCGUCUAAUAUAAUUCUGUGGUUCUGCCAAUUCGAGUAUAGCACAUCACCAACUGAAACUCCCUCAACGCUGCCAGACUUCCAUCCAGCACCAAGCUAUUGCCAAGCCUUGACAGCGUUGGAACCUCAGUUAGGCCUCAACUCCUCUACAAAAUAUCACUGCUGAGAUACUGGAUCGUUCAUACUGUCUGCUACCAAUGUGCACAGUGCCAUCAUUUUAAUGCUUUACAAAUAUGGUCUUACGAAAUGGGUGUCUUUAAAUUUUAGCCAAGUUUGGGGGGGGGGUUUGUUCAAAUAUCUUAUAUAUCUCUUAGGUUAUCACCCUCUACAACUUUACGUGGGAAUAAGCUUUAUUGAAAGCACUGAGUCCUAUUUGCAUUGCAGAGUUCUAGUCACUUAUUUUAAGAAAAUGUUAUAAAGAUUUGACUAGCAAAUAUGCAGAGAACGAAAUAUGCAGAGAACAUAAUCCAAGCAAGAACAGAAUUGCUUAAAACUGUUUAAAACUCUAUACCUGUACCUGUAUUAAUAUUGCUUAAUUUACGCAUGAGUUUUGUCUCAUUUCAGUAUCUUCAAUAUUACACAUGGUCAACUGGAUUAGCUGCAGGGCUUUCAAGAUAAUAGUGCCAAAGCAUUGAAAUACCUUCCCUGUCGAAGAUUCAGCACAGGUUUGCUCUUUGAUAUAUUUUAGAUACAAAGUGAAACUGUUUUUGUUUUCACAGGCUUUUAAGGUUUAGUUCUGCUGCUGCAUUUAACAGGAUUUUAAAUUAAUUGCUUUUAAUUUGUUACACAGGCAGCAACCAUUUUGCACGUGACUGCUGACAUGCAUGUUGUUUUUUGGCCCUGGAAGGGGGCGAAACAGGGCAGAACAGGGCGGGGGCAGAACGGGCUUAUGUGCGACCACUGAUGCAAGCAAUGACCCCGGUGCAAAUGGGGAGCUGCCUAUACUCAUAAACUUUUUUGUGUGUGUGAAAAUACAGUUUCUUUUUAUUUUGCUGCACUGAACUUUUUUCUUGUGACUUGCUCUGUGACCACAAAAGCAAAGUAAAAAAAUAUUGACUAAAAUUGGGUUUUCCCCCCCAAUGUUAGGCAGAUCAGUGUACAUGAUUUAGUUGGAUAUUGCCCAAUAAAAAUCUACCAGAAACAAGCCCCAUUACCAGAUGCAGCUUAGUGAAAAGCUUUGGCUAGCAUAGCAUUGAAAGGACAGUGGAGAGAUGACAAGAUCUUAAAUAGUCUUCCCCCAAUCUUCUGCCCUCUAGGUGUUUUGGACUAUAGUUCUCAUCAAUCCCAGCCAGCAUGUCUAGCUAAUUUGCAUCUGAAGUUCAUGCCAAUGUCUUUCUCUUCCCUCCCAUUUGCAGGAAAUGUGUGUUGUCUUCCUAAAGAACGGAGCUAGGACUAAGAUGGAUCUUUGCAAUGCUCCAGUUCCUGCACCUUUGUACCUUACUAAUGAGAUCCCUGGCCUAUAAAGGGACUCUAAUGCAGGGCUGGGGAACAUUUGCUGGAUGGGGAACAUUUGCCAAAUGUUGCUGGACUGGGCCUGAUGGAAGUCCACAACUGGAGGGCCACAAAGAGGUAGCAGGGUACCGUGAAACAAGAGGUUAGCCAAUAACUCAGGGAAAGACUUGAACCUUAUCCAAGAAGGAACUGGAAAGUGAGUAAUAUGCAUUCACAGCAAAAGGUCACAAGAGAACAGCCAAUAUGAGUCCAGGCAUUGUCAUGGGAAGCUGAGUCACCUGCAACUUAAAAGUUUGUUUUUAAUAAUGUAAGG